rnacentral:rRNA from 1 species
AUUUAUAGCCAUACCACCCUGAGCACGCCCAGUCUCAUCUGAUGUUGGAAGAUAAGCAGGGUUGGGUCUGGUGAGCACUUGGAUGGUGGCUGUAUCUC